AAAAAUGUUCAUAGCAGUUAUUAUUUAAUGAAACUCAAUAGCAACGAACUUUAAGAAAAACUAAAACUCAGUAAUAAAUUAGCGGUAUAAAGAGUAAUAUCAAUAACUAAUACACUUAAAAUGUGUAAUGUGUUUCAUAUAUUAAAAACCAAAAAAGUAUCGUACUUGUCUCUUAUAAAAAGAAUUGAAGGGAGUAAAAGUACCAAAACCAGCAAAUUUAUCAACACAAACAUUACCUUGUGUGUGAAAAUGAGAAUCAACCAAAAACUUUAUAUUGUUAAAACCCCAUAAAACUAUUCAGGUUCUGGUAGCAAAUGAAUGACAGAGAAAGACAAUAUGAGAUUUAAAAGCAAAUUACAAGGAAAAGGCAAACAAAGCACAAUAUCACAUUGCAUAUCCUAGCAAACCUCAUCAUUGGAGCACUUGAGAACAAAACAGUCCUUGUCUUUCAACAGUCAACAAACACUAACAUAUUAUUCAUUUCAAAAUGGUGCUUGUUUAUAUGAUUAUGUUGAUUUGGUGUAGAAACGAAUGCCAACUGCCACGCCCAAGAUCAACAAGGGAACAAGAAACUGAAGGAUCUUGAUGAUGAACUCCGGCGUCUUAUCCUGAUUAUAUUGAGGUUGUUUUGGAGCAGUGUAGUCAACCUUAGAGGGAAUGGUUGAUACAUCGAUAUCUCCAAUAUAAUACUCGUCCAUCAUCGCUGAUGCACUUGAGCUAUGACCAACGUCGUUGAAAUCAUCAGUUGCAUCUUUCCCUGCAAACAUUUGUCGUUUGGACUAUAUCAAAACAAAAGACAUUUAUUUAUAUUUACAUUUAUGAUGCACCGACACAGGUACAUGCACCAAACAAGACCCUUAUACACCAAUAACAAUUUGAAAAAAUAGAAAUGAUUGAAUGAAACCACAUGUGUCGGACACCAGACUCGAGUUAUCAAAAUAGACUGGGCCCAGCGGGCUGUGCCAGUCGGCUCCCAUUUUAGUCUCAGCCUAAAAACAAUAAUCUUUUUGGCCAAGCCCAUUUUAAAAAUAGGGUUGAUUGGGCUGGGCUGGCCCAUGUGUAGAAGAAAAAGAUAAACCAGUUUUUUUUUUUCAAAAAUAAUCAGAUUUCUUCAUUUUCUUGGUCUCAAUUUUAGAAAAAGUUAUUCAUCUUAAUUUCUCAAAAGAAGUUUUUUCACGUUUAAAGGAGUUGAUACUAAUUUGUCCAAAAAUGUUCAUAGCAGUUAUUAUUUAAUGAAACUCAAUAGCAACGAACUUUAAGAAAAACUAAAACUCAGUAAUAAAUUAGCGGUAUAAAGAGUAAUAUCAAUAACUAAUACACUUAAAAUGUGUAAUGUGUUUCAUAUAUUAAAAACCAAAAAAGUAUCGUACUUGUCUCUUAUAAAAAGAAUUGAAGGGAGUAAAAGUACCAAAACCAGCAAAUUUAUCAACACAAACAUUACCUUGUGUGUGAAAAUGAGAAUCAACCAAAAACUUUAUAUUGUUAAAACCCCAUAAAACUAUUCAGGUUCUGGUAGCAAAUGAAUGACAGAGAAAGACAAUAUGAGAUUUAAAAGCAAAUUACAAGGAAAAGGCAAACAAAGCACAAUAUCACAUUGCAUAUCCUAGCAAACCUCAUCAUUGGAGCACUUGAGAACAAAACAGUCCUUGUCUUUC
rnacentral:lncRNA from 1 species